AGCUCACCGCCGGCCGGGUCCGACUCCAACCAAUCAGCAUGGGGGCGCCGCCGCCGGCAGGGGCGCUGAUGGAAGAGCUCGUCGAGGAGAUCCGCCUCCCGCCGGCCAAACCGGAGAGCCUCGCCCGCGCUGCCCUCGUCUGCAAGUCCUGGUGCCGCCUCAUCUCCUCCCCCCGCUUCCGCCGCCGGCUCCGUGAGUUCCACCGCACGCCCCCCAUGCUCGGCCUCAUCUGCAAUCGCUUCGAGUAUCGCUACUUGACCCGCUUCGUCCCCACCUGGUCCUUCCGCCCGCGCCACGCCGACCGCCGCCAGUGGCGCGCGCUCGACGCCCGCCACGGCCGCGUCCUCCUCCACGGCAUGAACUGGGGACGUCGUCAGCUCGUCGUCUGGGACCCCGUAACGGACGACUGGAGCCAACUGCCCAUGGGGCCACGGCUUCACUACGAUUGGAACGCGGCUGUGCUCUGCGCGGCCUGUGCCACCGGCGCCUGCGAUCAACUAGACUGCUUCCUAAGACCCUUCCUCGUUGUCUUUUUUGGCACCGGCGUCAACCACAUGACAUUGUGGGUGUACUCAUCGGAGGUUGGCGCCUGGAGUGAGCCGACCUCGGUCGUUCAGUUUCCUAGCCUCCUGGGUCUUCUAGGACUAGGAGCUGUACCACGAUCAUGACGAUGGAAGAUGCUGGGCUGGGAGUCGCAAGAAUGGAAGGUCGUAGACUCUCUCUGUGGUCAAUGGAGGCAAAUCUCAAUGGAAGCAUGGGAUGGGCACAAAUCAGAGCCAUUGACCUCGUGAAGCUACUCUCUGACGUCGAUGCCCACUCCAAUUUUUCUGAUUUCGUUGGCUUUGCACAUGGUGUCGGAAUCUUUUUUGUGGGCACAGAUGAUGGGCUAUUCAGUUUCGAUUUAAAAUCUGGCUUGGUGAGGAAGGUAUGUGAGGGGGGAUGCCAUUACAGUGGCGUUAUUCCCUAUAUGAGCUUCUACACUCCAGCUUUGGGAGCGGUCUCUACAGGUGACUGACCAAAGUUGGUGCCUCAAGCGCUGAACAGACAAAAGAUGCUCGAUGGCAGAUUUCUUGGUUCAGGGUGAAUUGGGAUGUUUCCUCAUAAUGUAGUGGUCUUAGUCAAAGAUUCAAAGGUUCUGCUGCAUAUUGUUCAAACUUAUCUCUUGAAUUUAUCACCUCGAUCAAUGCUGUGAAGUUCUGGAAUUGUCUGUAACCUCUGAAGUUGCCUAGUCAUUUUGCACUCCUGAACCUUUUAGUUGCAAUGAAAUGUUAUCAUGAAUACA